rnacentral:rRNA from 1 species
UUGUAGUCUGAAAUUCGACUGCAUGAAAAAGGAAUUACUAGUAAUCGUGAGUAAUCACAUCACGGUGAAU